CAGUGGUAUCAGAGCCUGAAGGCAGAGCCAGAGGUGUUAUUCAAACAGUGGUGAACAACACAUCUCCUUGGUCUGGUUGGUCAGGAUGGUGUUGUCAGCUUUGACCAUGACUGCAAGAGCUGAUAUGACUCCAGCCUUCAGCAGCCUUUUCACUCUCUUCUCAAUAAAGUCUUUCUUGUCCUGAGAAAAGGAAGUGGGUAAUAUGAUGUCUUUAAGCAAUGACACGCCAUUGGUGAUGAUGAAGCUGGCACGACUCAUCUUUGUGGAGGAAUGGAUCAGUGCUUCCACAGCAA